UUAUUAACAGCGAAAAGACAGGACAAG
rnacentral:piRNA from 1 species